rnacentral:lncRNA from 1 species
AUGUCGACUUAGAGCCCUGACAGCCCUCAAGUCCUAGAGUUGGCACAAAGAGGUGGCACCGGACUGGCGGGGGUGGGGGAUAGGAAUGCGGAGAGCGAGAGUGCACGGAGGGGGCACCGGGGCUGCGCUGUGCCCGGCGGAGUGCCCGUGUUUAACUCGGCUGCUGCAGAAGGAACUAUGAGCCUUGUGAAUGCCCCUUCCGCAUCAGCCGGCGCUGCGUAGAACUGCGGGCAGCCGCAGAGAGCGCCCGGGACGGCGACGUUCUCAGAACCCUGUCAGGCCGGCCGGGGGGCGCACUGCCCAGAGGGUGAACCUCCAGACCCAAAUGCUCACCGAAGAGCCUCGCUUAAUUAGAUCCCUCCUGGCAUGCCGGGCCCCUAGCAGAAGCGGCCUCAGGGCUACCUUACUUUCCAGCGGGGAACAGCCCUGGCCUGGUCUGGAGACCCGCUGUUGGCUACUACGGGACUCAGCUUCCCAGGCAGCCGAGCCCCGACGUGGCGCUGGGUCCCCCGACUCCACCCGUGCAGCGGAGGCCGGCUCGGGACAGAAUGGGCCCAACUCCCCGCGCGGCGGCGCGGGCCGGCGAUCCCUCCGCUUCCUGCAUCCGCCACGGCGCGCGCUCCCACCGCUCCCUCCCCCCGCGCUCGGGUUACAGCUGCGCAGGCUCCCGAGUGCGUGGCCUGGCGUCGGCUCCGGGAGCGCUCCGUGUUCGGCCGGGAAUCUGGACUGCGAGCAUCCCAGGAGGCGCGGGCCGGGGGCCUACCGCGCCGCCCCGGAACGUGCUGCCGCUGCCUGCUGAGCCGCCCCGGCCUCGGAGGCCUGCCCUGGAUGCGGAGACGCCCCCGGGAAACUUUAGGGGAAAACUUUGCCAACUUCGCUGUCGGAGCGGGAGAGGCUGCCCGCCUGAAUGGCCGCGGCGACCACGGGCUGCGACGCGCGGGGCGGGCCCCGGGCCUGGCCAGGGCGCCCGGGAGCGGACCCGUGAGGCCGGCCGGCGGGCACCGGGCUCUUCGCGCCUCGCCUCCGCACCGCCUGGACUCAGCCCGCUGCCCUGGGUCUCCGAGGGACUCCUUGGUGCGCAGCGCCCCGGGUUCUCCUCCUCGGGCGUCUCCUCUCUUCGGGCCCCUCUCCGGCAUCCGUGCCUCCCCGGCGCCCCCUCCUCAUCCAUCUUGGGAGAGGAACAUGUCGCCUUAUUGGAUGUCCAGGCCAGAGCCCGGUGAUGCGGCCCGGCCAGCGCUGCGCAUUUUCUUCUUGCAUACUGAGGAGAUGGCCCUGUGGGUGGUGUAGGUGGUGCUGUCAGGUUCUGAACCGGCCUCUGAAGCUUCAGUGAGAGCAAGCCAGGAUCCCGGUGGAGCAGCUGCUUUUGAUGUGGGCUUUUCAGGGCUUAGCAAUCCUGCCGUUCCCACCCCUGG